GCGGAACAGCCUCAUUAUUUCUGAUGACUUUGCUUUUGAACCCCAUUGCCCUUUCUUGCCCCCCAACGCUCCAUAGCCCACUGACACUUAGACACGCUCCCAGGAAGGCUUCUGCAAAGAUCAGUGAGGAGCCCUUGGGCUGUUCACUUGGGGAAUGGGGAUUCCAAGGCAUGAGCAAUGGAUGGGAAUCAGGCAAGGGACCUGAGGUAGAGACAGAGGCCAGACGACAAGGGGAUUCAUCGCUCCUGGGGAUGGCUGUCUCUAGCUGCCUGCCCUUCAUGCCAUGAGGGAACUGCCAUAAUUACGUAUGAUUUGCAGAUAGAGAAACUGAAGAACAGAGGUUAAAUUACUUCCUGGAGAUUAUACAGCGAAUAAGUAGAGGAUUCCAGACUUGAAUCACCAGCCUUCUUCUCAAAGUUCCUGCUUCGGCCUAUACUGUGCAGCCUGGAAUUGUUUUGUAAAACUGUGUUCUCUCUGGCUAACAGCCAAAUCUGAAAGUGAGUGGGCUGGUCUAGAGGGUAACAAUGUACAAACCAAUUCUUUGAUGUAUGCCAAAAAAGUUUAAUGUUUUGCAAGUACACAAUAGUUGAGAACCUAUAAUUUGGAACAUCCCAUUGCUCUUAUCCAGAAGGCAAGAGGUCCGCCAGCUCCUUCCUCCUACCUAGGGAUGCAAGAAUUAGAUCCUAGAACGGGGAGUCUGAGAACAGCAGAUCUGUGAACUUGACUGAGAGCCCCCAAAGGAGUUCAAGAAGCCUUCAAGUUUGUGUGGAAAUUUGUUGCCUCUACCAGAAGACUGCAGAUACCCAGCAGUGAGGCAGGAGAGAAACUGGAGUCCGGUUACCUGAAUUCAAGACUUGCCUUUUCCACUCAUUAGUUAGAUGGCUUUGGGAAAGUUCCUUAUUAUGUAACCUCUUCAUUUCUCACUUAUAAAAUGGGAUAGUAAUGGUGCUUGCUUUUGAGAGUCCUUGCAAGUUUCUGGAUAAUGCAUUCUCAUAAUAAGCACUCAAUAGGUGGGUGCUUUUGUUUGUAAUAUACUACUAGCAGCCCAGAAAUCACUUCCUUCCCCACAAAUUUGCCUUUUUUUCUUAAUGUCCUCUUAUCAUCUAUAUAGAUUAUUAAUCUAGCAAAGACAAGAUAUUUAUUUAGCAGUAUGAGC
rnacentral:lncRNA from 1 species